rnacentral:lncRNA from 1 species
CACAGCGGUACCGAGCACGGCCGUCCUCCACACAUUGGCAAUUCAAGCAAAUAUUCCACAGCGACAGGGGAGUUUUUGAGUCUUACGUAUUUCAGAUGUAUCGUAUCGUGAAUUUAUCACUGGAUAUUCUGCAAGCAAUUGAAACUCAUGGAAGUAUUUUAUUGAAUUCCAUGGACACCUUCUCAAUACAGAGCUCAUAACAGAAGCAUAUCGCAUCUGCCACUUCAAAUCCUCAUUCAGCCAGGCUUAAUUGAUGUAUGAGAAACAGCACAGCACCUGAAAAUAGCUACAGUAGCUGAUGCCUCUGUCAACGUCUGCAAGCUCCAAUUUUCAUAACACAGUGACUUAGAAGACAUGACUGUACAGUACUUCCAUGGAGUCUGGUAAUACGAAGUAUGUAACAGAAUAAAAGGAUGGAUAGUCUGAAGAGUAACA